GACGAACGCUGGCGGCGUGCUUAACACAUGCAAGUCGAACGGAAAGACCCUGCUUGCCGGGUACUCGAGUGGCCAACGGGUGGGUAACACGUGGGUGAUCUGCCCUGCACUUCGGCAUGGGCCUGGGAAACUGGGUCUAAUACCGAAUAGGAGCCAUUUUUAGUGGGAUGGUUGGAAAGUUUUUUCGGUGUAGGAUGAGCUCGCGGGGUAUCAGCUUGUUGGUGGGGUAAUGGCGUACCGAGGCGGCGAGGGGUAGCCGGCCUGGGGGAGUGGACGGCCACACUGGGACCGAGAGACGGCCCAGACUCGGAAGGGUGGCAGCAGGGGGGAAUGCUGAACGAGGCGCGCCAGCCUGAUGCAGCGAGGCCGCGUGGUGGAUGACGGCUUUGUGGUGGGAAAAACCUAUCGCUAGGGACGAAGCUUCUUGUGACGGUACCUAGAUAAGAAGCACCGGCUAACUACGUG
rnacentral:rRNA from 1 species